AUAUAUUUAAUGCACUCUAUACGUUCACCUUGAAGUUUGGCCAUUUCCGUUUUCGGACGGCAAUAAAAUUACCGAGAGCAAGUUCACGAGAAGUUCACCCGGUAGGGAUGUGGUAUCGGCUAAAAACGUUGCAGAUAUAGCACGCAGUAAGUCAGUAAUCGGAACUAUUCGAAGCGAACGGAUCACCUGAAGCGAAGCGAAAGAAGCGAAUUGAGAGUUUUAAAGUGUUUGUUGAGUGUUUUAAGUGUUCUAAGUGUUGAAUACAGCUUUUAGUUUUA